AAGGGGCCUGCAGGGCAGGAGGGAGGCAGGACAGGUUCCACUGCACUUGCUGUCUUUGUCAUCCCCACAGCCCGGGCACUCGUGAGCUUCACAGAAAACAAUCAUGGAAGAUGAGGACGAUGAUGGUGUGGAUUAGUGAUGUGCCUGGGGACAGUCUGGUCACCGGUUCUCAGGGCCCAGAGGGGAUCUCUCAGCCUGGCAGAUUCUCAGGCAACUUUCCGGGUGGAUCCUGCUCCUCUGGGCCCCCUUAAGCGGGCUUCCCAGCUCUGGAGCCCAGUGCCCUCCAUGGGGGGCCGUGGCCAGGACGCCUUCCCUAGCUCUCAUCUUCUGCUUCCACCAGUCACCUUGUGGCUCUUCCCUCCUCCCACCGGUGACCGUCUCCCCCGCUGCUGGCCUGUGUCCCUAGACAUGUGCUCCUGAAUCACUGGCCCAGGCAAAAGGAAAGGAACAAGGCUGAGAGGUGAGUUUUCCUCUG
rnacentral:lncRNA from 1 species